ensembl:snRNA U6 U6 spliceosomal RNA
GUGCUUGCUUUGGCAGCACACACUAACACUGGAAUGACACAAAGAAGAUCAGAACAGCCCCUGCAUCAGGAUGAAAUGUAAAUUUGUGAAGUGUUCCAUAUUUUA